AAAGUACAAACACUUGUAAUCGUCAUAAUUAUGCUCUUCUUCCUCCUUAGAACAAAACCUAAUUUUUCUCAGCCACACCUAAUUUCGAUCUCUUCCUCCUUAGUUUCUUCUUCCUCUACAAAAUCUGUCGCCUCCUCUUCCUGAGUCUCUUUCUCUACCUCAUGUUCCCAGACCCUAAACCCAUCUCACCCAAACCCAAACCCAAACCUAAUGUUACCUCCUGAUACCGUAAUGUUGGAGUAGAAUCCUCCGAUUGAACCCAUCUCUCCUCACCCGCCAGCGUCUUGGGGAGUAAUUGGUGGGGAAUUAGAAACGAGAAGGAGGGAAUUGUGAUCUAUGGCCGCCGAAAUCAAGAUCUACAACGUUUCGAGGUUAUGAAACCGCCGCAUCCGUACAGUACGCCCGUCACCUCCAGAUUAGAUUUCGACUAAAACCAGAGUACGAGAGGACAAGGUCGAGAAAUUCACAGUAUAGAGGAGUCACCUUCUAUAGAAGAACUGGUCGAUGGUUUCAAUACUGCUCAUGUUGCAGUAGGUGGUUUUGAUACUGCUCAUGUUGGUGCUAGGUAAUUUUUGGAUUGUGUUUGUUCAUCUCAUCAGGUUUGUUUCGAGUUUGGUUUUUUUUUUCUGAUAAAUGUUUUGUACUUGCCGAGCUUAUUGAUAUAAGAUCAAGGGGAUGAUCGGAUCUAAGUAGAUGACCACACGGUGCUUUCUACGUCGAUGUCGUAACCGGAGUUGACGGUGCCGGAACAAAGGACCACACGGUUCUCUUUGCGUUGACUAAGGAGUGGGAUGGAUCGAUGGACACCACACAAUCGAUGAGUGAGAUUGUGAUAAGUCGAGGAACUCACGAAUCAAGGGGAACCCGCACAAGAUUGGUGAACUCGUAAAACAAUUAAAAGAAAAGUUCUCUCUUUAUUGAUAAUAGGCAAAAACGUGAACUACAAGAGCUGCAAUGGACCUUAUUAAUAUGUCGACAGCUUUGACCUUCUAGGAUCUUUGAAAAGAGAAAAAAGGCAACAAAUAAUUCACAAAAUAAACUACAAAAGGAAUCUAGAUUACUUUCGAACCAAACUGCAAAAGAAAAGGAAAUUUCUCAUUUAUUAAAAAAUAUUUAAACGCUUACCUUGGCUUGGGGAGGAAGUUCUUGGCCUUGGAAGCUUCUAACUCAUGUCUUUUAAGUGUUUUCGUUUGGAGUGAUGACAAAAAGAACUUGGGCUUGGUUGGUCUUAAGGAGAGGCCUUUCACUUGUUGGUUCGUAAAAGUUCGGGCCGAUACUUAAGUCGGGUUUCGUGACGUUAAUUGCACUAUCCAUAAUAUCUUCUUGUUGGUGCUUUUUAUCGCCAAGGGUGAGAUUGUUGAACUGGUCAAUGGUGCUCUCCAAGUCUUUAUAGUUGAUUAAACUCUCCACAGCUUUAUUGAAUUCUUCACGCAUCGUCCUUGUACCGGAUCUUGUCCUAGGCGGUUGAUACAUAGUUGGAACUCUAACAGUGUUGGUGAUGCUUGAGCUUAUGUCCUCAUCACUUAUGAUCGAGCUGCUAUUAAAUUUAGAGGUGUUGAUGCUGAUAUCAACUUUACUCUGGGUGAUUAUGAAACAUGUUUUGUAGAUAUAGUUUCCUUGUUUAUGAAUAUUACAAAGAUUUUUUUUGGA